CCACUUAGUGAUAAUGAAAUUGUCACCUAUAUGCUUGCCGGUCUCAACAAUGACUACGAUUCGCUGGUGACCUCCCUCACCACAAGCAUGGAACAGGUAACUCUGAGCGAUCUAUACGCUCAUUUGAUGUGUUUCGAGG